UACGUAGGGUGCAAGCGUUAUCCGGAUUCACUGGGUUUAAAGGGUGCGUAGGAGGGCAGGUAAGUCAGUGGUGAAAUCUACGGGCUUAACUCGGAAACUGCCGUUGAUACUCUCUGUCUUGAAUCCCGUGGAGGUGAGCGGAAUAUGUCAUGUAGCGGUGAAAUGCUUAGAUAUGACAUAGAACACCAAUUGCGAAGGCAGCUCGCUGCACGAAGAUUGACUCUGAGGCACGAAAGCCAGGGGAGCAAACGGG
rnacentral:rRNA from 1 species